rnacentral:rRNA from 1 species
CACGUAGGCACCAAGCGUUGUCCGGAUUUAUUGGGCGUAAAGAGCUCGUAGGCGGUUCAGUAAGUCGACUGUGAAAUCUCCGGGCUUAACCCGGAAAGGUCAGCCGAUACUGCGGGGCUAGAGUGCAGAAGGGGCAACUGGAAUUCUCGGUGUAGCGGUGAAAUGCGUAGAUAUCGAGAGGAACACCUGCGGCGAAGGCGGGUUGCUGGGCUGACACUGACGCUGAGGCACGAAAGUGUGGGGAUCAAACAGG